GGGCCCGCACAAGCGGUGGAUUAUGUGGAUUAAUUCGAUGCAACGCGAAAAACCUUACCUACUCUUGACAUACUUGGGAGCUCUUGUAAUGAGAGUGUGCCUUUUGGAACCAAGAUACAGGUGCUGCAUGGCUGUCGUCAGCUCGUGUCGUGAGAUGUUCCGUUAAGUCGGAUAACGAGCGCAACCCUUACCCUUAUUUGCCAGCGAUUCGGUCGGGAACUAUAAGGGGACUGCCGGUGAUAAACCGGAGGAAGGUGAGGACGACGUCAAGUCAUCAUGGCCCUUACGAGUAGGGCUACACACGUGCUACAAUGGGGAAUACAGACGGACGCUAAGCCGCGAGGUGGUGCUAAUCCUAGAAAGUUUCUCGUAGUCCGGAUUGGAGUCUGCAACUCGACUCCAUGAAGUCGGAAUCGCUAGUAA
rnacentral:rRNA from 1 species